UACGUAGGGGGCAAGCGUUGUCCGGAAUUAUUGGGCGUAAAGAGCUCGUAGGCGGCCUGUUGCGUCCGCUGUGAAAGCCCGGGGCUUAACCCCGGGUCGGCAGUGGAUACGGGCAGGCUAGAGGUAGGUAGGGGAGAAUGGAAUUCCCGGUGUAGCGGUGAAAUGCGCAGAUAUCGGGAGGAACACCGGUGGCGAAGGCGGUUCUCUGGGCCGUAACUGACGCUGAGGAGCGAAAGCAUGGGGAGCGAACAGG
rnacentral:rRNA from 1 species